GGAUUUAUUGAGGACAGAAAAGUUCCCACAGUGGAAGGGGACUCAAAGGGGUUGCCCCUCAUUGCUUUUAAAGUACGAUCCUAAGUGCCUUAAAUUUAAUUCUCACUGUCAUCUUAGAGAUGAUGUGUCUUGUUCUUUGUCACAGAAGCCGCCACAUCAGUUCUUUGCCUUCCCAGCCUGAGGACCUAGUGGCCCUUGGUGGCAUCUGUUAAGUUAAUGAGAGGUGGAUGAUGAAGGAAACCUCGAAAGGUGCUCUAGGCCUGAGAGCUCUGCUUGGUCUGUUUUGGGCACUUGACCUGCAUUUUCCACCUGGCAGUGCCA